AAACGGGUGGUAAUGCCGGAUGCUCCGACUCCUCGCAUGGGGUGUCGGGAAAGAUUUCAUCGGUAUGGGAUGGGGUCGCGUCCUAUCAGGUAGUCGGCGGGGUAACGGCCCACCGAGCCUACGACGGGUAGCCGGCCUGAGAGGGCGACCGGCCACAUUGGGACUGAGAUACGGCCCAGACUCCUACGGGAGGCAGCAGUGGGGAAUAUUGCACAAUGGGCGCAAGCCUGAUGCAGCGACGCCGCGUGCGGGAUGACGGCCUUCGGGUUGUAAACCGCUUUUGAUCGGGAGCAAGCCUUCGGGUGAGUGUACCUUUCGAAUAAGCACCGGCUAACUACGUGCCAGCAGCCGCGGUAAUACGUAGGGUGCAAGCGUUAUCCGGAAUUAUUGGGCGUAAAGGGCUCGUAGGCGGUUCGUCGCGUCCGGUGUGAAAGUCCAUCGCUUAACGGUGGAUCUGCGCCGGGUACGGGCGGGCUGGAGUGCGGUAGGGGAGACUGGAAUUCCCGGUGUAACGGUGGAAUGUGUAGAUAUCGA
rnacentral:rRNA from 1 species